rnacentral:rRNA from 1 species
UACGGGGGGGGUAAGCGUUGUUCGGAAUUACUGGGCGUAAAGGGUGCGUAGGCGGUCGGGUAAGUCUGACGUGAAAUCUUCAAGCUCAACUUGGAAACUGCGUCCGAUACUAUUCGGCUAGAGGAAUGGAGGGGAGACUGGAAUACUUGGUGUAGCAGUGAAAUGCGUAGAUAUCAAGUGGAACACCAGUGGCGAAGGCGAGUCUCUGGACAUUUCCUGACGCUGAGGCACGAAAGCCAGGGGAGCAAACGGG